GAGACCGAGUCAUUUCGAGGGAUGCUGUGUGCAGACUUUGCAACUUUUUGAGGUUAUGAGUUUACGUAGCACCUACCUAUAUCGCUCUUGCGUUUCUUUUAGGUUGGUUGAUUUAUUGUCCUUGCCUUUUGCAUCGGUGUCGUGAUUAAACCUAACCUUAAAACUUUUACCUCAAUUUCAUGCUGCGAUACUGAUCGUCGAAAAAAUCGACGCCGAUGUGGUCGCGUGAUGCUGAAUCGGCGAAUUCGGAGAGUACAGCAAGAAAGUACGGCGGAUUUCUAGUUAUCGAAAAUGGAUCGAAGGAAAAGCGACUCGUAGCGAAAUUACGACAACAGGUCCAUUCGUUGGAAGGGAAAUUGUUUCUAUUCAGUAUAAUGAAGUAAUGAUCAAAUAAUUGCAAUAAUCAAAGGAUAAGGCGAACGAUUUACCAUUAACAUUUCGCACUCCUACGUCGAGUGUGAUUUGAUAUCAGUUUCUAUCUCAGCAGCUUCUUUGUCGAGUCCCAGCUUUUCUUGCGCAGCUUGCAAAAGAAAACCAGGAUCGUACAUUGGAAAUUGUUUCGAGAUAUAUCAUACAUUUAAAAAUUACAAAAUACAUAAUACAAAUGCAUAAUAC
rnacentral:misc_RNA from 1 species